UCCUUUUAAACGUGGUCAUGUGAGAUGACCUGACCUCAGCUGUGGCUGAGGGAUGGCCUGGACACCUUAGGGAGACAGGGUGUAGAAUUGAUCCCACUUACAAGGCAAGCAGACCCCUGUGACAGACAGUUACUAACUAGACCCCUGUGCCAGAGAUUUGCUUUGUAAUUCUCUAUUUGAAGUGGGAGCACGAAAUUAUAGCUGGUAACCUGGUGUGGACUGAGCAAACCCGCAGCAAGGGACCAACUGCUCUCCGGCAAGAACACAGCUGUUGCCAACUAUUUGUCCCGGCACUUCUGAGAGCUGGACACCCCCACCCCCACUCUGGUCCUAAAAGGCAUGUCUGUAUGGGAAUGUGUAACUGUAACCGGCAGUCAGGCUGCAAGAGGAGUAGAGGCAGCACACACCCUCUGGUUCCCUGGCCCAGGGGAGGAAGAACCACAGAUGAACUCAGAUCAGAAGCUUGCUGGGCAGGCAAACACUGAAGGAAGUGCUAGGAGAGCAGAUCUCCCUUGGAUUGGUGAAGUGAGCAUCUCUGUGAAGCCUCAAGCACUUCAUUACUGCCCUUAUUCAUCUCCAGUGUUUGAGCAUCCUUUUCCUCAUGCCUCUCCCCUAAGAAAAGCUGUGGGCAGAGUGAGCCCAGGAGAGGAUGCUGCCCAGUGUGGGAAAUAGAAUGUGUGGAGCGUCCAUCAGGAGGAGAGAGGGGCAACCUGCUUGGACAGGGUGCCUAAUGGCUCUGAAUAUCAUCUCUGAAAUGCAGAUACUAAUGCCUUCUUGAAGAGGAUACACAAAAGUGUGUGUGUGUGUGUGUGUGUGUGUGUGUGUGUGUGUAAAAUAUUAGCACCUUGACUGGCAGAGAGUAGGCAUUUAAGUUAUUUUUGUUUUGUUUUCUUAGAGGCCAGG